rnacentral:rRNA from 1 species
CCUACGGGUGGCAGCAGUAGGGAAUCUUUCACAAUGGGCGAAAGCCUGAUGGAGCAACGCCGCGUGCAGGAUGAAGGCCCUCGGGGUGUUAACUGCUUUUAUAAGCGAGAAAUAUGAUGGUAACUUAUGAAUAAGGAUUGGCUAACUACGUGCCAGCAGCCGCGGUCAUACGUAGGAUCCGAGCAUUAUCCGGAGUGACUGGGUGUAAGAGUUGCGUAGGUGGCAUAAUAAGUAGCUAGUGAAAUCUGGUGGCUCAACCAUUCAGACUAUUAGCUAAACUGUUAGGCUCGAGACCGUUAGGAGUAACUGGAAUGUCUAGUGUAGGAGUGAAAUCCGUAGAUAUUAGAAGGAACACCAAUAGCGUAGGCAGGUUGCUAAGACGGUUCUGACACUAAGGCACGAAAGCGUAGGGAGCAAACGGGAUUAGAUACCCUAGUAGUC